AUGAGUAUGGUACUUUAAUCAGAAUUCAAGUGGUGUAACUAUUCCAAUGGAUAAAAUGAUACAGAGGGGUUCCAUAAACAGGAAGUAGUAUUAUACAGUACAGGAAGUAGUAUUAUACAGUACAGAGGUUCCAUAAACAGGAAGUAGUAUUAUACAGUACAGAGAGGUUCCAUAAACAGGAAGUAUUAUUAUACAGUACAGAGAGGUUCCAUAAACAGGAAGUAGUAUUAUACAGUACAGAGAGGUUCCAUAAACAGGAAGUAGUAUUAUACAGUACAGAGAGGUUCCAUAAACAGGAAGUAGUAUUAUACAGUACAGAGGGGUUCCAUAAACAGGAAGUAGUAUUAUACAGUACAGAGAGGUUCCAUAAACAGGAAGUAGUAUUAUACAGUACAGAGAGGUUCCAUAAACAGGAAGUAGUAUUAUACCGUACAGAGAGAUUCCAUAAACAGGAAGUAGUAUUAUACAGUACAGAGAGGUUCCAUAAACAGGAAGUAGUAUUAUACAGUACAGAGAGGUUCCAUAUACAGGAAGUAGUAUUAUACAGUACAGAGGUUCCAUAAACAGGAAGUAGUAUUAUACAGUACAGAGAGGUUCCAUAAACAGGAAGUAGUAUUAUACAGUACAGAGGGGUUCCAUAAACAGGAAGUAGUAUUAUACAGUACAGAGAGGUUCCAUAAACAGGAAGUAGUAUUAUACAGUAUAGUCUAACAUCUGAACUCUCUCACUGAGGUUUGUGCCUUUAAUGUACCAGGUAUCCCUCCCUAAACCCUCCAUAGACCCUCCAUACCCUCCAUAUACCCUUCCAUAGACCCUCCAUAGACCCUCCAUAGACCCUCCAUAGACACUACUGUAAUGUCCUCUAUCAGAAUACAUCAACCAUCCAUAGACCCUCCAUAGACCCUCCAUAGAUAUACCCUCCAUCCAUAGACCCUCCAUAGACCCUCCAUAGACCCUCCAUAGACACUACUGUAAUGUCCUCUAUCAGAAUACAUCAACCAUCCAUAGACCCUCCAUAGACCCUCCAUAUACCAUCCAUAGACCCUCCAUAGAUCCUCCAUAGACCCUCCAUAGACCCUCCAUAGACCCUCCAUAGACCCUCCAUAUACCCUCCAUAGACCCUCCAUAGACCAUCCAUAGACCCUCCAUAGACACUACUGUAACCCUCUAUCAGAAUACAUCAACCAUCCAUAGACCCUCCAUAGACCCUCCAUAGACCCUCCAUAUACCAUCCAUAGACCCUCCAUAGACCAUCCAUAUACCCUCCAUAGACCCUCCAUAGACCCUCCAUAGACCCUCCAUAUACCCUCCAUAGACCCUCCAUAGACCCUCC
ensembl:lncRNA